rnacentral:rRNA from 1 species
GAGUUUGAUUAUGGCUCAGGACUAACGCUAGCGGGAGGCCUAACACAUGCAAGCCGAGCGGGAUUUGUUGGUUAGCUUGCUAACUAAUAAUGAGAGCGGCGUACGGGUGCGUAACACGUGUGCAACCUGCCUUUAUCUGGGGGAUAGCCUUUCGAAAGGAAGAUUAAUACCCCAUAAUAUAUUAAUUGGCAUCAAUUGAUAUUGAAAGCUCCGGCGGAUAGAGAUGGGCACGCGUAAGAUUAGCUAGUUGGUGAGGUAACGGCUCACCAAGGCUGCGAUCUUUAGGGGGCCUGAGAGGGUGAUCCCCCACACUGGUACUGAGACACGGACCAGACUCCUACGGGAGGCAGCAGUGAGGAAUAUUGGACAAUGGGUGAGAGCCUGAUCCAGCCAUCCCGCGUGAAGGACUAAGGACCUAUGGUUUGUAAACUUCUUUUAUACAGGGAUAAACCUACUCUCGUGAGGGUAGCUGAAGGUACUGUAUGAAUAAGCACCGCA